rnacentral:rRNA from 1 species
AUUGAACGCUGGCGGCAGGCCUAACACAUGCAAGUCGAGCGCGAAAAUUCCUUCGGGGAUGAGUAGAGCGGCGGACGGGUGAGUAACGCGUAGGAAUCUGCCCGGUAGUGGGGGACAACAGUCGGAAACGACUUCUAAUACCGCAUACGCCCUAAGGGGGAAAGCAGGGGAUCUUCGGACCUUGCGCUAUCGGAUGAGCCUGCGUCGGAUUAGCUUGUUGGUGGGGUAAUGGCCUACCAAGGCGACGAUCCGUAGCUGGUCUGAGAGGAUGAUCAGCCACACUGGGACUGAGACACGGCCCAGACUCCUACGGGAGGCAGCAGUGGGGAAUAUUGGACAAUGGGGGAAACCCUGAUCCAGCCAUGCCGCGUGUGUGAAGAAGGCCUCGG